rnacentral:rRNA from 1 species
GAUGAACGCUGGCGGCGUGCCUAAUACAUGCAAGUCGAGCGAAUGGAUUAAGAGCUUGUUCUUAUGAAGUUAGCGGCGGACGGGUGAGUAACACGUGGGUAACCUGCCCAUAAGACUGGGAUAACUCCGGGAAACCGGGGCUAAUACCGGAUAACAUUUUGAACCGCAUGGUUCGAAAUUGAAAGGCGGCUUCGGCUGUCACUUAUGGCUGGACACGCGUCGGAUUAGCUAGUUGGUGAGGUAACGGCUCACCAAGGCAACGAUGCGUAGCCGACAUGAGAGGGUGAUCGGCCACACUGGGACUGAGACACGGCCAAGACUCCUACGGGAGGCAGCAGUAGGGAAUCUUCCGCAAUGGACGAAAGUCUGACGGAGCAACGCCGCGUGAGUGAUGAAGGCUUUCGGGUCGUAAAACUCUGUUGUUAGGGAAGAACAAGUGCUAGUUGAAUAAGCUGGCACCUUGACGGUACCUAACCAGAAAGCCACGGCUAACUACGUGCCAGCAGCCGCAGUAA